UCCUGGAGCAUCCUGGCCUCAUGUCCAGCUGUCCGAGCUCCAGGGAAAUCCCACAGGGCAGCGCAGGUCAGAGCCUCUGAUGAAUAGAGUCUCAAAGUCCACCAUCAAAAGAGCUCUCCUCCCUCGGCAGCGCUUCCCCUUUUUGUAUCACGAGAUCAUCACAGACGGUCACAGAGACAGGCCCAUGCGUUUGGAGACUGUCAGGGGAAACCGUUUUGCAAAGCUUUCGAACAAAUCAGAAGCAAGAAGGAUGAGACGCUUCCCCUCUUUCCUCUAGCACUGAAGUUCAUGCCGUGAGCCUGCUGACCCAAGAAUGCGGCCAGAUCUCCAGCACAUUGUUUAACAGGGCCCAGCAGUGGAGUGGAGAAGUCAAAUGUUUAGUUUGCAGGGGGUUCGCUCAGUGUGUUUUGGAAUCAUUAUGUGCUGUUGCAUUGUUGCCAUUUAUUGAUUUUCCAGAAACUCCAAAAGCAUCGCGAAAUAUGUUCCCAGUACAGUAGAUCUCAAUGGGGAAAGUCAAGAGAUAUAUGAUAACAGAUCCACAGGAAUGUUUGGUUUCAGCAAACACAAUUUAAAAUUCUGCACGGAAACAGAGCAGAACCAAAACUAACUGAACGGAAACUGUCAAAACUUGUAAAGCAGGAAUUCAAAUCUGUGUGAUACUGAAAAAUAGUAUCACAAAAUGGUAAGUUUGAAUAGGCAGCUAGAACCGCACAUUAGGGGCAAUGCCAGGGAGGGCUUGAGGGGGCACUAGCCUCCAGAGGUGGGGACUUGCAAGUCAUGACUUGGACUCGAGUCAGACUUGAGUCACUAUUUUUAGGACUUGAGACUUGACUUGAUAAAAUAGAAAAAGACUUGGGACUCGACCUGGACUUGAAGAUCAGUGACUCGGGAUUUAACUUGGACUUGAGCCCUGUGACUUGGGAAGACUUGAAGCUUCUCCUUAAAAAUAUAUGUUUUUAGAAAAUA